CGGGGUGUAGCUCAGCUUGGUACGAGUGCUUGCUUGGGGUGCAAGAGGUCGCUGGUUCAAAUCCAGUCACUCCGACCA
rnacentral:tRNA from 1 species